UAGGGUCUGGGAAAUGCAUUUUUAUCACACAUAUGGGCAUGUGAUGCAAUCUUUCAUAUGAUUCGUGCGUUUGAGGGAGAAGAUGUAACUCACGUAGAGGGUGAUGUGAACCCUAUACGAGACUUAGGAAUCAUCUCUGAGGAAUUAAGGAAAAAGGAUGAGGAGUAUCUCAAAGAUAAAGUGGUUAGUUGUAACUGUUUACUUCCAAUUAUGGAUUGCUUAACCAUUUGCAUCCAA